rnacentral:lncRNA from 1 species
UAAAGAGAAAUAUCUCUUAGAGAUACAACUUCCAGAUACCUUUAUAUAUUUAAUGUUUGAAAUUUAAUCAAAGUCAUUAUGUUGGUUCGUUUGGCAACUGGCCUCUUGCAACAUGCCUAGGGGUCGCGCGUUCGAAUCCAAGCAACGCGUGCUUUUGCUUUAAUUUUGGGAUUCGAACCCGGUAUAUAAAAGUAACAUAAACGGUUACUAACCACUAGACCACUUAAAGUCAUUAAUAACAUCUUGAACAUUAAUU